CUCAGGAUGAACGCUAGCGGGCAGGCUUAACACAGUGCAAGUCGAGGGGCGAGUCGGAGGGAAGCUUGCUUCCUUGCGGCGACCGGCGCACGGUGAGUAACACGUAUGCAACCUGCCCUCUUCAGGGGGACAACCUUCCGAAAGGGAGGCUAAUCCCGCGUAUAUCGUUUCGGGCAUCCGAGAUCGAGGAAAGAUUCAUCGGAAGAGGAUGGGCAUGCGGCGCAUUAGCUUGACGGCGGGGUAACGGCCCACCGUGGCGACGAUGCGUAGGGGUUCUGAGAGGAAGGUCCCCCACACUGGUACUGAGACACGGACCAGACUCCUACGGGAGGCAGCAGUGAGGAAUAUUGGUCAAUGGGAGAGAUCCUGAACCAGCCAAGCCGCGUGAGGGAAGACGGCCCUAUGGGUUGUAAACCUCUUUUGUCGGAGAACAAAAACCCGGGACGUGUCCCGGACUGCGUGUAUCCGAAGAAAGAGCAUCGGCUAACUCCGUG
rnacentral:rRNA from 1 species